AUAUAGACCUGCCUGGGAAGAUACCAUGAUCAAGAAAGUGGUUUUCCUAGGGCAGGAUUUGUCCAUUAUACUAGGGAUGUGCUAACCCCUGCAAUUUCCCCAGAUUCAGAAAAUUCAACUGCCUAAUUUGUGGUAGUGGGGAACUUCAUGCUCUCCCCU